CACACACACACACACACACACACACACACACACACACACACACACACACACACCACUACAAGGGCCUUGUCUUUGAGGGUCUCCAUUGAAUGUGCUUGAGGAGGAUACAUUUACGUUUAUCAAAGUUGUUCCUUCUGUGUCUCUGAUAGGAUUAUAACAUGCUGUUACUGCAGUACAUAUCAGAAUGUUACUGCAGUACAUAUCAGAAUGUUACUGCAGUACAUAUCAGAAUGUUACUGACAGUACAUAUCAGAAUGUUACUGCAGUACAUAUCAGAAUGUUACUGCAGUACAUAUCAGAAUGUUACUGCAGUACAUAUCAGAAUGUUACUGCAGUACAUAUCAGAAUGUUACUGACAGUACAUAUCAGAAUGUUACUGCAGUACAUAUCAGAAUGUUACUGCAGUACAUAUCAGAAUGUUACUGCAGUACAUAUCAGAAUGUUACUGCAGUACAUAUCAGAAUGUUACUGCGGUACAUAUCAGAAUGUUACUGCAGUACAUUUCAGAAUGUUACUGACAGUACAUAUCAGAAUGUUCCUUCUGUGUCUGAUAGGAUUAUAACAUGCUGUUACUGCAGUACAUAUCAGAAUGUUACUGCAGUACAUAUCAGAAUGUCCCUUCUGUGUCUCUGAUAGGAUUAUAACACGCUGUUACUGCAGUACAUAUCAGAAUGUUACUGCAGUACAUAUCAGAAUGUUACUGCAGUACAUAUCAGAAUGUUACUGCAGUACAUAUCAGAAUGUUACUGCAGUACAUAUCAGAAUGUUACUGACAGUACAUAUCAGAAUGUCCCUUCUGUGUCUCUGAUAGGAUUAUAACAUGCUGUUACUGCAGUACAUAUCAGAAUGUUACUGCAGUACAUAUCAGAAUGUUACUGCACAGUACAUAUCAGAAUGUUACUGACAGUACAUAUCAGAAUGUUACUGCAGUACAUAUCAGAAUGUUACUGCAGUACAUAUCAGAAUGUUACCGCAGUACAUAUCAGAAUGUUACUGCAGUACAUAUCAGAAUGUUACUGCAGUACAUAUCAGAAUGUUACCGCAGUACAUUUCAGAAUGUUACUGCAGUACAUAUCAGAAUGUUACUGCAGUACAUAUCAGAAUGUUACUGCAGUACAUUUCAGAAUGUUACUGACAGUACAUAUCAGAAUGUUACCGCAGUACAUAUCAGAAUGUUACCGCAGUACAUUUCAGAAUGUUACUGCAGUACAUUUCAGAAUGUUACUGCGGUACAUAUCAGAAUGUUACCGCAGUACAUUUCAGAAUGUUACUGCAGUACAUUUCAGAAUGUUACUGCGGUACAUAUCAGAAUGUUACAGCAGUACAUAUCAGAAUGUCCCUUCUGUGUCUCUGAUAGGAUUAUAACACGCUGUUACUGCAGUACAUAUCAGAAUGUUACUGCAGUACAUAUCAGAAUGUUACUGCAGUACAUAUCAGAAUGUUACUGCAGUACAUAUCAGAAUGUUACUGCAGUACAUAUCAGAAUGUUACUGCAGUACAUAUCAGAAUGUUACUGACAGUACA
rnacentral:lncRNA from 13 species